AUGGGGCUCACGUUCACCAAGCUGUUCAGCCGCCUCUUUGCCAAGAAGGAGAUGAGGAUUCUCAUGGUUGGUCUCGAUGCCGCUGGUAAGACCACCAUCCUCUACAAGCUCAAGCUCGGAGAGAUCGUCACCACCAUCCCAACCAUCGGAUUUAACGUCGAAACUGUUGAAUACAAGAACAUCAGCUUCACUGUUUGGGAUGUGGGGGGCCAAGACAAGAUCAGGCCCCUGUGGAGGCACUACUUCCAGAAUACGCAGGGCCUCAUUUUUGUUGUCGACAGCAAUGAUAGGGAACGUGUUGUUGAGGCUAGGGAUGAGCUCCACAGGAUGCUGAAUGAGGAUGAGCUGCGUGAUGCUGUGUUGCUUGUAUUUGCAAACAAACAAGAUCUUCCUAAUGCCAUGAAUGCUGCUGAAAUCACCGACAAGCUUGGUCUGCACUCCCUGCGCCAGCGGCACUGGUACAUUCAGAGCACUUGUGCGACGUCUGGCGAAGGGUUGUACGAGGGACUUGACUGGCUCUCCAACAACAUUGCCAACAAGGCUUGA
rnacentral:rRNA from 1 species